GUCAUCUGCUGUCUGGCUGGGCGGCUCUUGUGGUCGCAAACGGGAGAUAAAGUCUUGAUGGAACGAGGAUGGCUAUCUGGCAUCACAACUGAAGUGCAGUCAGGACACGCUGCGCGGCCUCCCUGGAGAGGGCUGAGCAGAGGUGGAGGAGAGGCUGCCAGGCAUCCUGGGCUCCUCCUGACCCAGCUGGCUGAGCUCACCCCGUCUCUGUUGAGACCAUCGUGAGCCUAGAUCUUUGACCCAGUUUCUACCCCACACCACAAGAUGAGAGGUGAGGAAGGAGAAGCAUGGAGAAACCACAACUUGAAGAACUGCACCCAAAGAGUGAGCACAACCUACUUGAGAGGUCAAAUUUCAAGAUGGAAUGAGUCACAAUCCUGGCCCCAUCAAAUUUCCUCCUCCCUGUCCUCACCAUCCUAUGGCCUACCAAAGGAGGGGUGAGGCCCUCACCUCCCCAGCACAGGGCAUGGGGCACAGAGCAUGUGCUGCAAGUCUCUGCUGGGAAGAAACAACAGCCUGGGAUUCAAACUGCAUGAAGAUUUGCAAGAUAUAGUCUGGCAUCCCCCCGUGGUUGUAGUGAAUAAACAAGCCAGAGUCAC